rnacentral:rRNA from 1 species
GACGAACGCUGGCGGCGUGCUUAACACAUGCAAGUCGAACGGUGAAGCUCCAGCUUGCUGGAGUGGAUCAGUGGCGAACGGGUGAGUAACACGUGAGCAACCUGCCCCUGACUCUGGAAUAAGCGCUGGAAACGGCGUCUAAUACUGGAUACGAGAAGGGUCCGCAUGGGCACUUUCUGGAAAGUUUUUCGGUUGGGGAUGGGCUCGCGGCCCAUCAGCUUGUUGGUGAGGUAAUGGCUCACCAAGGCGACGACGGGUAGCCGGCCUGAGAGGGCGACCGGCCACACUGGGACUGAGACACGGCCCAGACUCCUACGGGAGGCAGCAGUGGGGAAUAUUGCACAAUGGGCGAAAGCCUGAUGCAGCGACGCCGCGUGAGGGAUGACGGCCUUCGGGUUGUAAACCUCUUUCAGCAGGGAAGAAGCGAAAGUGACGGUACCUGCAGAAGAAGCACCGGCUAACUACGUG